GUCAGUAACAGUGGGGAGGUCUCCCCCUGCUACCAUUCUCCACUCUGCUCCACAGCAUGCAGUAACAGUGGGGAGGUCUCCCCCUGCUACCAUUCUCCACUCUGCUCCACAGCAGGCAGUAACAGUGGGGAGGUCUCUCCCUGCUACCAUUCUCCACUCUGCUCCACAGCAUGCAGUAACAGUGGGGAGGUCUCUCCCUGCUACCAUUCUCCACUCUGCUCCACAGCAGGCAGUAACAGUGGGGAGGUCUCUCCCUGCUACCAUUCUCCACUCUGCUCCACAGCAGGCAGUAACAGUGGGGAGGUCUCUCACUGCUACCAUUCUCCACUCUGCUCCACAGCAUGCAGUAACAGUGGGGGGGUCUCUCCCUGCUACCAUUCUCCACUCUGCUCCACAGCAGGCAGUAACAGUGGGGAGGUCUCUCCCUGCUACCAUUCUCCACUCUGCUCCUCAGCAUGCAGUAACAGUGGGGAGGUCUCUCACUGCUACCAUUCUCCACUCUGCUCCACAGCAUGCAGUAACAGUGGGGAGGUCUCUCCCUGCUACCAUUCUCCACUCUGCUCCACAGCAGGCAGUAACAGUGGGGAGGUCUCUCCCUGCUACCAUUCUCCACUCUGCUCCUCAGCAUGCAGUAACAGUGGGGAGGUCUCUCACUGCUACCAUUCUCCACUCUGCUCCACAGCAUGCAGUAACAGUGGGGAGGUCUCUCCCUGCUACCAUUCUCCACUCUGCUCCACAGCAGGCAGUAACAGUGGGGAGGUCUCUCACUGCUACCAUUCUCCACUCUGCUCCACAGCAUGCAGUAACAGUGGGGAGGUCUCUCCCUGCUACCAUUCUCCACUCUGCUCCUCAGCAUGCAGUAACAGUGGGGAGGUCUCUCACUGCUAC